CGGAACACGUGUGCAACCUGCCUUUAUCUGGGGGAUAGCCUUUCGAAAGGAAGAUUAAUACCCCAUAAUAUACUGGAUGGCAUCAUUCGGUAUUGAAAACUCCGGUGGAUAGAGAUGGGCACGCGCAAGAUUAUAUAGUUGGUGAGGUAACGGCUCACCGAGUCUACGAUCUUUAGGGGGCCUGAGAGGGUGAUCCCCCACACUGGUACUGAGACACGGACCAAACUCCUACGGGAGGCAGCAGUGAGGAAUAUUGGACAAUGGGUGAGAGCCUGAUCCCGCCAUCCCGCGUGAAGGACGACGGCCCUAUGGGUUGUAAACUUCUUUUGUAUAGGGAUAAACCUACCCUCGUGAGGGUAGCUGAAGGUACUAUACGAAUAAGCACCGGCUAACUCCGGUGCCAGCACCCGCGGUAAUACGGAGGGUGCAAGCGUUAUCCUGGAUUUAUUGGGUUUAAAGGGUCCGUAGGCGGAUCUGUAAGUCAGUGGUGAAAUCUCAAAGCUUAACUGUGAAACUGCCAUUGAUACUGCAGGUCUUGAGUGUUGUUGAAGUAGCUUGGAAUAAGUAGUGUAACGGUGAAAUGCAUAGAUAUUACCUAAAACACCAAUUGCGAAGGCAGGUUACUAAGCAACAACUGACGCUGAUGGACGAAAUCGUGGGGAGCGAACAGGAUUAGAUACCCUGGUAGUCCACGCCGUAAACGAUGCUAACUCGUUUUUGGAAUGUAAGUUUCAGAGACUAAACGAAAGUGAUAAGUUAGCCCCCUGGGGAGUACGAACCCAAGUUUUGACACUCAAAGGAAUUGACGGGCGGCCCGCACAAGCGGUGGAUUAUGUGGUUUAAUUCGAUGAUACGCGAGGAACCUUACCAAGGCUUAAAUGGGAAAUGACAGGUUUAGAAAUAGACUUUUCUUCGGACAUUUUUCAAGGUGCUGCAUGGUUGUCGUCAGCUCGUGCCGUGAGGUGUUAGGUUAAGUCCUGCAACGAGCGCAACCCCUGUCACUAGUUGCCAUCAUUAAGUUGGGGACUGUAGUGAGACUGCCUACGCAAGUAGAGAGGAAGGUGGGGAUGACGUCAAAUCAUCACGGCCCUUACGCCUUGGGCCACACACGUAAUACAAUGGCCGGUACAGAGGGCAGCUACACUGGGAAGUGAUGCAAAUCUCGAAAGCCGGUCUCAGUUCGGAUUGGAGUCUGCAACUCGACUCUAUGAAGCUGGAAUCGCUAGUAAUCGCGCAUCAGCCAUGGCGCGGUGAAUACGUUCCCGGGCCUUGUACACACCGCCCG
rnacentral:rRNA from 1 species